rnacentral:rRNA from 13 species
AAGUCCCGCAACGAGCGCAACCCUUGUCUUUUGUUACCCCUAUCGAGAGAUAGGGGGAAUCGAAAGAGACUGCCGGUCAUAAACCGGAGGAAGGUGAGGAUGACGUCAAGUCAGCAUGCCCCUUACGUUCUGGGCCACACACGUGCUACAAUGGGCAAGACAAUAAGUAGCUAACCUGCGAAGGUACGCAAAUCUAAGAAACUUGCCCUCAGUUCGGAUUGGAGGCUGCAACUCGCCUCCAUGAAGUCGGAAUCGCUAGUAAUCGCCGGUCAGCCAUACGGCGGUGAAUACGUUCCCGGGCCUU